GAUGAACGCUGGCGGCAUGCCUAAUACAUGCAAGUCGAACGAGAGGAAGGAAAGCUUGCUUUUCUGAGUCUAGUGGCGAACGGGUGAGUAACACGUAGGUAACCUGCCCAUGUGCCCGGGAUAACUUCUGGAAACGGAUGCUAAAACCGGAUAGGUAGCAGACAAGCAUUUGACUGCUAUUAAAGUGGCUAAGGCCAUGAACAUGGAUGGACCUGCGGUUCAUUAGCUAGUUGGUGAGGUAACGGCCCACCAAGGCGACGAUGCAUAGCCGGCCUGGGAGGGCGGACGGCCACAUUGGGACUGAGACACGGCCCAAACUCCUACGGGAGGCAGCAGUAGGGAAUUUUCGUCAAUGGGGGGAACCCUGAACGAGCAAUGCCGCGUGAGUGAGGAAGGUCUUCGGAUCGUAAAGCUCUGUUGUAAGAGAAAAACGACAUUCAUAGGGAAUGAUGAGUGAGUGAUGGUAUCUUACCAGAAAGUCACGGCUAACUACGUGCCAGCAGCCGCCGUAACAC
rnacentral:rRNA from 1 species